rnacentral:rRNA from 1 species
GACGAACGCUGGCGGCGUGCUAAACACAUGCAAGUCGAACGAUGAACCCGGAGCUUGCUCCGGUGGAUUAGUGGCGAACGGGUGAGUAACACGUGGGUAACCUGCCCAUAAGACUGGGAUAACUCCGGGAAACCGGGGCUAAUACCGGAUAACAUUUUGAACCGCAUGGUUCGAAAUUGAAAGGCGGCUUAGGCUGUCACUUAUGGAUGGACCCGCGUAGCAUUAGCUAGUUGGUGAGGUAACGGCUCACCAAGGCAAUGAUGCGUAGCCGAGAUGAGGGGGUGAUCGGCCGCACUGGGACUGAGAAACGGCCCAGACUCCUACGGGAGGCAGCGGUAGGGAAUCUUCCGCAAUGGACGAAAGUCUGACGGAGCAACGCCGCGUGAGUGAUGAAGGCUUUCGGGUCGUAGAACUCUGUUGUUAGGGAAGAACAAGUGCUAGUUGAAUAAGCUGGCACCUUGACGGUACCUAACCAGAAAGCCACGGCUAACUACGUGCCAGCCGCCGCGGUAA